ensembl:lncRNA
CCUGUAUGUACCUGGUCCUGACCUGUAUGUACCUGGUCCUGGCCUAACCUUGUGUGUGGUUUGCUCUCUCAUGAUUUGGUAAUACAGGACAUUUCCACGACAAAUGACCAGGAAGUGGCUAGUUUAAUGACCAGGUAGUGGCUAGUUUAAUGACCAGGUGGGGGCUAGUUUAAUGACCAGGUGGUGGCUAGUUUAAUGACCAGGUAGUGGCUAGUUUAAUGACCAGGUAGUGGCUAGUUUAAUGACCAGGUAGUGGCUAGUUUAAUGACCAGGUAGUGGCUAGUUUAAUGACCAGGUAGUGGCUAGUUUAAUGACCAGGUAGUGGCUAGUUUAAUGACCAGGUAGUGGCUAGUUUAAUGACCAGGUAGUGGCUAGUUUAAUGACCAGGUGGGGGCUAGUUUAAUGACCAGGUGGGGGCUAGUUUAAUGACCAGGUAGUGGCUAGUUUAAUGACCAGGUAGUGGCUAGUUUAAUGACCAGGUGGUGGCUAGUUUAAUGACCAGGUAGUGGCUAGUUUAAUGACCAGGUAGUGGCUAGUUUAAUGACCAGGUGGGGGCUAGUUUAAUGACCAGGUAGUGGCUAGUUUAAUGACCAGGUAGUGGCUAGUUUAAUGACCAGGUGGUGGCUAGUUUAAUGACCAGGUAGUCGCUAGUUUAAUGACCAGGUAGUGGCUAGUUUAAUGACCAGGUGGGGGCUAGUUUAAUGACCAGGUGGGGGGCUAGUUUAAUGACCAGGUAGUGGCUAGUUUAAUGACCAGGUGGUGGCUAGUAUAACAGCAGGUGAGUUUCCCUUAUGACCCUCUACGAUAGACAUUCAGUAGUUCAGCUAGGGAGGUUGUGUCACAAAUGGUACCCUAUAUAGUGAACUACCUUUGACAAGAGCCCAUAGGUAGUGCACUACGUAGGGAAUAGGGUGCCAUUUGGGACCCCAAGAGAUGUCCACAGGACACAGUGGAGAGCCAGUGCAGAACCAGUACCUGAUUAUAGAUAUUGAUUUCGGAUAUACAGGCUAUAAUGUGUGUAUAAACAUGAAUAAAUUGCUUACGAAACAUGUAUAAACUG